CUGGCUCAGGACGAACGCUGGCGGCGUGCUUAACACAUGCAAGUCGAGCGGUAAGGCCCUUCGGGGUACACGAGCGGCGAACGGGUGAGUAACACGUGGGUGAUCUGCCUCGCACUUCGGGAUAAGCCUGGGAAACUGGGUCUAAUACCGGAUAUGACCAGGGACUGCAUGGUUUUUGGUGGAAAGAUUUAUCGGUGCGAGAUGGGCCCGCGGCCUAUCAGCUUGUUGGUGGGGUAAUGGCCUACCAAGGCGACGACGGGUAGCCGGCCUGAGAGGGCGACCGGCCACACUGGGACUGAGACACGGCCCAGACUCCUACGGGAGGCAGCAGUGGGGAAUAUUGCACAAUGGGCGAAAGCCUGAUGCAGCGACGCCGCGUGAGGGAUGACGGCCUUCGGGUUGUAAACCUCUUUCGACAGGGACGAAGCGCAAGUGACGGUACCUGUAGAAGAAGCACCGGCCAACUACGUGCCAGCAGCCGCGGUAAUACGUAGGGUGCGAGCGUUGUCCGGAAUUACUGGGCGUAAAGAGCUUGUAGGCGGUUUGUCGCGUCGUCUGUGAAAACUCACAGCUCAACUGUGAGCUUGCAGGCGAUACGGGCAGACUUGAGUACUGCAGGGGAGACUGGAAUUCCUGGUGUAGCGGUGAAAUGCGCAGAUAUCAGGAGGAACACCGGUGGCGAAGGCGGGUCUCUGGGCAGUAACUGACGCUGAGAAGCGAAAGCGUGGGUUUGCGAACAGGAUUAGAUACCCUGGUAGUCCACGCCGUA
rnacentral:rRNA from 1 species